rnacentral:tRNA from 1 species
UCGGCUGGUGGUGCGCGAACCGGCGCGGCCGGUGCAGGCGGCCGAUGCGGUGCCGGUGUCGGCGGUGUUCGGCAUAUUGGCGGCCAAGC